rfam:Picea glauca, whole genome shotgun sequence.
UCUUAUGUACAUGCCUACAACGUAGCAUUAAUGCAUUGGACCCCAUUAGAACUUUGCAGUUAAGCGCGCUUGGGCUAGAGUAGUACUGGGAUGGGUGACUGCCAAGGAAUUCAUUGUGUUUAACAC